UGCGUAGGUGGUUUGAUAGGUCAGAGGUGAAAGCCCACCGCUUAACGGUGGAAUUGCCUUUGAUACUGUCAGACUUGAAUAAGGUUGAGGUCGGCGGAAUGUGUCAUGUAGCGGUGAAAUGCAUAGAUAUGACAUAGAACACCAAUUGCGAAGGCUACUGGCUAGACCUUUAUUGACACUGAGGCACGAAAGCGUGGGGAGCGAACAGGAUUAGAUACCCUGGUAGUCC
rnacentral:rRNA from 1 species